rnacentral:misc_RNA from 1 species
UUUCUUUCCUGGAAAGUGUGUUGGAUCCGAGACGUGUGGCUUAGACAAUGCGCACCAAAAGCCUCCUCAGUCCUCAAGCUUACAGAUGCUCCUUCCCUUUAAUGAGAGAAACGGCUGUAUUAAAGGAAUCACAUGGGUCUUGCUGUCUGGCUAAGCUUUAUUAACCAUCUCUGAUUUCAACUCAAGUCAAUGGGUUAUGUUUCUAGGAUCUCAAGUGUGCUGAAGAUUUCUAUUAAAGAUCCAAGAAAAUGCUUCUGAGGAACUCAUCAAACCCUGCAACUGUAACGCUGAUAUCACCAUUCUCAGGCAGCCCUAGUAGGGAUUUGGAUACCAUCAACACAAAACACCACCAUCUCAAUUUGACACCAUUCUCAUGCGGCACCUUAUCACCCUUCUCUGAACUCAAUCAAGAAGCCAGUAGUUUUCGCCUCAGAGGAUUUCGAAGAGCUUGGUCUGAUAGUAACUUGGAAAGGUUAGAGUAUCCAUCUUGCGAUAAAGAAGAGCUUCAUUUUUCAACCACACCCAACAAGUUCCCAAAAAGACAUUGCAAGGCCAUGUUGCGCGGUGCACCUUCUUUUUCAAUAUUUAAUGUGAAUGAUGUGCUAGGAGAUCAAGAAAAUAGGGGAGGAGAUGUAGGAAGAGAACAAGAGGACUUGAUGAGAACAAUUACUAUUGGAGACAGUAUAGAAGCUAAAGGAAGCGGAGAGUUCAAUAACAUGGGGCUGAUAGAGGAAGAAGGAGAUCUAAAUGGGAUUGAAAAUUUGAAUCUUGAAGAAGCAAAGGAACCGGUUAGUCCUCCCUUGUAUCUUGCUUCAGGGCUUGGGAUUGAUGGCAUUGAUUUUGGUGGCGGAAAUGGCGGUGGGGUUGGCGGUUUUGAUUUAACUUCGCCGAACUUUAAUGAAAGUGGCGAUCUUGAAGAGUACUAUAAGAGGAUGGUCGAUGAGUUUCCUUGCCACCCUCUGUUUCUAGCAAAUUACGCUCAGCUUUUGCAGUCUAAGGGAGACCUUCAUGGUGCUGAGGACUACUAUCAUCGCGCUACGCUCGCAGAUCCUGAAGAUGGUGAAAUCUUAUUGAAGUAUGCUAAACUGGAGUGGCAACUUCACCAUGAUCAAGGUAGGGCUUUGAGUAAUUAUGAACGUGCUAUUCAGGCUGCCCCUCAAGAUAGGUGAGCGUGAGCUUGUGCCCAUCAGGUCUUGCAAAUUGAAUUUUGUAUGGAACAACUGAUGCUUCUUCAUUAACACCGUUGUCUUCUGCUCUGGAUUGUUUGAAAACUAACCCAUGAUUGAGGAUCGACAAGGAAUUUUAAUUUUUUUUUUUUCAGUCAUGUUCUUGCUGCAUAUGCCAGUUUUCUCUGGGAAAUAGAUGAUGAUGGUGAAGAAGAUACAUUGCAGGCAACGCAUAUUAAGGUCGAAUCAGAGGAAAAUCUAACUAUGCCCGGCAACUCGGCCACCAAUCAAGAUUUUAAGCCAUUGCAGGUUCCACCUAGGCUUACAAUUGAUGUGGCAGAUCACUCUACAUCUGAUUCUGAUACGGGCAACAAUGUUGAGGAGUAUUACAGGAGGAUGGUUGAGGAAAAUCCUUCCAACUCUUUGGUGUUAAGAAAUUAUGCUCAAUUUCUGUAUCAGAAGGGGGACCUUCCAGGCGCUGAGGAAUAUUACUCGCGUGCUGUACUAGCUGAUCCCGGGGAUGGUGAAAUCAUGUCACAUUAUGCAAAGUUGGUAUGGGAAGCUCAUCGAGACCACAGUAAAGCCUCAAGUUUCUUUGAGCAAGCAGUUCAAGCUGCUCCUGAGGACAGCCACGUUGUUGCAGCAUAUGCUAGUUUCCUCUGGGAAACGGAAGGAAAUGAAGAGGAUAGCACAAAUCCUGAUCAAUUUCACAAUGAAGGUUCUGUGACUACCGAUUAAUUCUGAUAUGGAUGAACUAAACUGCAGUCAUAAGUCGUAACCUAAUGUUUUACUCAAGGGUAAAUAUUAAAGCUGAGAUAACCCACAACUGUAUCAAUAAGAAGAGUUAAGGUCUUCUACAGAUCUUUCAGCUGCUGUCAUUAGUUUCCUGUACUCUGCAUAAGAGACCUCUGAUAUUUGAAAGAUUUAUAGUAAUUAUCCUACGCCACAUGGUGGCUGUCUCCAAUGAUAUUUGUAAAUCAAAGAGAUUGCCUGAAUGAGCGUUUGCACAAAAAUGUAAACAAUGCACAAACGCUACAAUUUCCAACUCUUUCAAGAGGAAUCCAUUCUACCUAAAG